rnacentral:lncRNA from 1 species
AAAAUAUAAAUUAAUGAUAUGAUUUGUAUGUUUUUGUUUUAUUUUAGGGAAACACCUUGACAAUAUCAGUAAGUUCUAUUUUUCUUCUAAUGAAACAUCUUACGUGAAGUUUUAGGCAGUAACGAAAAAUCCCAUGUAAUAACAAUUGAACCCAGAUAUUGCAAAGACUUAAGCCAAUAUGUAACUUUACGCAAUUCAGUGGGACUACUGCACAUGAAUAAGUGUUUGCAGGAUCAGGCCUAAAUCUGGAUGCACUCGGAUAAAAUAUUACAAGCGUCUAAUUAUUUAUGUGGAUUUCUUUCUCUCUCUUUUUAGGUGAACUCCAUGAAGAAAUUAGGGCACAUCUUGAAAAUAUUAGUAAGUUCAAUUUUUUUCCCCAUCUAACCUCUCAGUUGAAGUUGUACACAGUUAAAUUGUUGUUGUUUAAUUAAAGGAAUAAUGUCAAUUUGAAAAUCAAAUGCACACACUUUGGCCACUAUUCAGAAGGCACAGCAGCUCAGUCAUUUGCACGAUUGGGGUCUUUGUAAUAAAUCAUUGUCUAUAAAAUGGUAUGUCAGAAUAAAAACAGACUUUGAUAAUGUUAUGGUCUGUCCUUUCAUUUCUUGCACACAUGCCACUCCCAGUGCAAUCAAAGGGUGAUGGGCCGGGAGGAAUAGUAAUCAAAGUAUUCUGAAUUUUGAUUUUUCAUCAUCAUCAUUUUUAUUUCCAAUGACCAAAAAGGGGCAGGGAAAAUGUCAACCAAAUUGUCGCAUGCCCUCCCCUACCAAACACAAACUAUUUUCUCACUAGCUCUAACAAUUAAUAAUCAGACCUAAAGACACCUUGCUCUGCAAAACUGUAAAUCUUAAAAAAAUUAUAUCGGAGCCCUGAGCCGACACAUUCUUAAACUUAUGCUUCAUUUCAGCACACAGAUGGUCUUGUUGAAGUCAAUGGGAGUACUCACAUGCUUAACAUUGCGUACAAGCAUCACUCUUUGUAUCACCAGUGGCUUUGAGUCCAAGCCUGCAAGUGUUUACAUGCAUGAGUAACUUUAUUCACGUGCCUGAGUGUUGAUCAGAUUGGGUGUUUAUAAUGCAUUUUUGACCUGUAAUCUUAGCUCCUGAUCCUGCGUUUGGAGCCAUGCGAAUGAACUGUUGAAUUCAGCCCCACUGAUUUUAGUGUAGAUUUCAGACCUUUAGAAUAUCACCAG